GGGAGCGAUUGGAUCUGACCCCCGGUCACAAAAGUGGGUACCCAGGCUGGCGACUCAUAGAGAUUGGUCUUCCGGGAUAAGAGGCUGAACCCUGGAUGGGCCUCAGGUAUACCGUGGACCACAUUCAUCCCCUGAGGGAGAGAGUUAGGUCAGACCCCCAGUCACUAAAGGGGUUACCCAGGCUAGCGACUCAUAAAGAUAUGCUGUUGCUGGUUCUUCAGGAAUAAGAGGCUGAACCCUGGCAUGGCUUCAUAUAUGGAUCGCUUUCCUCCUCUGAAGGAGGGAAUUGGGUCAGAUCCAAGGUCACUAAAUGGGUUACCCAGGCUAGCAACUCAUAGACAUAUGCUGUUGCUGGGUCUUCAGAGAUAAGAGGCUGAACCCUGGCAUGGCUUCAUGUAUGAACACUGUUCCUCCUCUGAAGGAGGGAAUUGAGUCAGACCCCGGGUCACUAAAGGGGUUACCCAGGCUAACAACUCAUAGACAUAUGCUGUUGCUGGGUCUUCAGGGAUUAGAGGCUGAACCCUGGCAUGUAUGCAAUGGACUGUUUUCAUCCCCUGAGGGAGCGAUUGAGUCUGACCCCCGGUCACGAAAGGAGGUACCCUGGUUAGCAACUCAUAGAGAUGUGAUGUUGCUGGGUCUUCAGUGAUAAGAGGCUGAACCUUGGCAUGUAUAGAGUGGACCGCUUUCAUCCCCUGAGGGAGAGAGUGGGUCUGACCCCUGGUCAGUAAAGGAGGUACCAAGGCUGGUGACUCAUAGAGAUGUGCUGUUGCUGGGUCUUCAGGGUUUAGAGGCUAAACCCUGGCAGGGACACAAAAAUACUGGCCUGGUGAGCAUAGAAGAAAAAUCUAGGCCUGCUUAAGCAGACUCCUUCCAAACUGCUGUGAAGGACAGGAAAAAAAGACUGUCUG